CCUACGGGGGGCAGCAGUGAGGAAUAUUGGUCAAUGGGCGCGAGCCUGAACCAGCCAAGUAGCGUGAAGGAUGACUGCCCUACGGGUUGUAAACUUCUUUUAUAUGGGAAUAAAGUGCAGUAUGUAUACUGGUUUGAAUGUACCUUAUGAAUAAGGAUCGGCUAACUCCGUGCCAGCAGCCGCGGUAAUACGGAGGAUCCGAGCGUUAUCAGGAUUUAUUGGGUUUAAAGGGAGCGUAGGCGGUUUGUUAAGUUAGUUGUGAAAUUUUGCGGCUCAACCCUGAAAUUGCAGCUGAUACUGUCAUCCGAGAGAACAGUAGAGGUAGGCGGAAUGCGUGGUGUAGCGGUGAAAUGCUUAGAGAUCACGCAGAACCCCGAUUGCGAAGGCAGCCUACUGGACUAUAACUGACGCUGAUGCUCGAAAGUGUGGGUAUCAAACAGGAUUAGAUACCCUUGUAGUC
rnacentral:rRNA from 1 species